rnacentral:tRNA from 2 species
GCCUGGCUAGCUCAAUCGGUAGAGCGUGAGACUCUUAUUCUAGACAUCUCAAGGCUGUGGGUUCAAGCCCCACGUCGGGCU